CUGUCUUGAAACACUGACUCUCCACUGAGGAAACGGAGAAGGCGUGGAAGGGAAGGCGUGGAAGGGGGAAGCCAUUCUCCCCAGUGACUCUGCUGCCCAAGAUAAUGGGAAUGAAAAACAUCACCUUCCACCUGGAAAGAGACCAUGAUGACACACCAAAUGAUGACCGCCAGUCUGAAACUACUAUGAUGUCAGAGACCACUGUGGUGACAAACCAUGUGACGAACACUAUGAUGUCAGAC